UGCAUCAGAUAAUGCGAACCAUUAUCAUCUACAUCACUGGCUAAUCACCAGCGAGUAGUCCGCAAUCAUGCAAUGAUUCCGGUUUCUCCUCAUCAGGCUUAACACGGUGUUUGACCCGCCCAGGUGGCGGGUCUUUUUUUG
rnacentral:sRNA from 1 species